rnacentral:rRNA from 1 species
GUGGGGAAUAUUGGACAAUGGGCGCAAGCCUGAUCCAGCAACGCCGCGUGAGGGAUGACGGCCUUCGGGUUGUAAACCUCUUUCAGCAGGGACGAAGCGAAAGUGACGGUACCUGCAGAAGAAGGACCGGCCAACUACGUGCCAGCAGCCGCGGUAAUACGUAGGGUCCGAGCGUUGUCCGGAAUUAUUGGGCGUAAAGGGCUCGUAGGCGGUCUGUCGCGUCGGGAGUGAUAACUCAGGGCUCAACCCUGAGCGUGCUUCCGAUACGGGCAGACUAGAGGUAUGCAGGGGAGAACGGAAUUCCUGGGGUAGCGGUGGAAUGCGCAGAUAUCAGGAGGAACACCGGUGGCGAAGGCGGUUCUCUGGGCAUUACCUGACGCUGAGGAGCGAAAGCAUGGGGAGCGAACAGGAUUAGAUACCCUAGUAGUCC